rnacentral:rRNA from 1 species
UUCGUAGCUUGCUCUUAUGAAGUUAGCGGCGGACGGGUGAGUAACACGUGGGUAACCUGCCCAUAAGACUGGGAUAACUCCGGGAAACCGGGGCUAAUACCGGAUAAAAUUUUGAACUGCAUGGUUCGAAAUUGAAAGGCGGCUUCGGCUGUCACUUAUGGAUGGACCCGCGUCGCAUUAGCUAGUUGGUGAGGUAACGGCUCACCAAGGCAACGAUGCGUACCCGACCUGAGAGGGUGAUCGGCCACACUGGGACUGAAACACGGCCCAACUCCUACGGGAGGCAGCAGUAGGGAAUCUUCCGCAAUGGACGAAAGUCUGACGGA